ACUCAAAGGAAUUGACGGGGGCCCGCACAAGCAGUGGAGUAUGUGGUUUAAUUCGAAGCUACGCGAAGAACCUUACCGGGUCUUGACAUGUAUGGAAUCCCUCAGAGAAGAGGGAGUGCCUUCGGGAACCAUAGCACAGGUGGUGCAUGGUUGUCGUCAGCUCGUGUCGUGAGAUGUUGGGUUAAGUCCCGCAACGAGCGCAACCCUUAUCGUUAGUUGCUACCAUUAAGUUGAGCACUCUAGCGAGACUGCCGGUGAUAAAUCGGAGGAAGGUGGGGACGACGUCAAAUCAUCAUGCCCCUUAUGACCCGGGCUACACACGUACUACAAUGGCUGUAAACAACGGGAAGCCAAGCCGCGAGGCGGAGCAAAUCCCUUAAAAGCAGCCCCAGUUCGGAUUGCAGGCUGAAACUCGCCUGUAUGAAGAUGGAAUUGCUAGUAAUCGCGAAUCAGCAUGUCGCGGUGAAUACGUUCCCGGGCCUUGCACACACCGCCCGU
rnacentral:rRNA from 1 species